GGGUCAAUGGGCGCAAGCCUGAACCAGCCAUGCCGCGUGCAGGAAGACUGCCCUAUGGGUUGUAAACUGCUUUAUACAGGAAGAAACACUCGGACGUGUCCGAGCUUGACGGUACUGUAAGAAUAAGGAUCGGCUAACUCCGUGCCAGCAGCCGCGGUAAUACGGAGGAUCCAAGCGUUAUCCGGAAUCAUUGGGUUUAAAGGGUCCGUAGGUGGAUUAGUAAGUCAGAGGUGAAAGCCUGCAGCUCAACUGUAGAACUGCCUUUGAUACUGCUAGUCUUGAGUCAUUAUGAAGUGGUUAGAAUGUGUAGUGUAGCGGUGAAAUGCAUAGAUAUUACACAGAAUACCGAUUGCGAAGGCAGAUCACUAAUAAUGUACUGACACUGAUGGACGAAAGCGUGGGGAGCGAACAGGAUUAGAUACCCUGGUAG
rnacentral:rRNA from 1 species